rnacentral:rRNA from 1 species
CAAUAGCGUAUAUUAAAGUUGUUGCAGUUAAAAAGCUCGUAGUUGAACCUUGGGCCUGGCUGGCCGGUCUGCCUCACCGCAUGUACUGGUUCGGCCGGGUCUUUCCUCCUGGGGAUCCGCAUGCCCUUCACUGGGUGUGUUGGGGAACCAGGACUUUUACUUUGAAAAAAUUAGAGUGUUCAAAGCAGGCCUUUGCUCGAAUACAUUAGCAUGGAAUAAUAGAAUAGGACGUGCGGUCCUAUUUUGUUGGUUUCUAGGACCGCCGUAAUGUUUAAUUGGGAUAGUCGGGGGCGUCAGAAUUCGAGUUGUCUAGAGGUGAAAUUCUUGGAUUUACUGAAGGACUAACUUCUGCGAAAGCACUUUGCCAAGGAUGUUUUCAUUAAUCAGUGAACGAAAGUUAGGGGAUCGAAGACAUCAAGAUACCGUCGUAGUCUUAACCGUAAACUAUGCGGCUAGGGAUCGGGCGAUGUUAUUCUUUUGACUCGCUCGGCACCUUACGAGAAAUCAAAGUCUUUGGGUUCUGGGGGGAG